AAAAAUCCGCUGUAACGUUAAUGCUGAGGCGUGAUGGGGAAGGCCCUUGAGGCUGAAGUACAUGAUUCCAUGCUUCCAAGAAAAGCAUCUAGAGAGAGAAGUAGUGCCCGUACCGCAAACCGACACAGGUAGAUGAGGAGAGAAUCCUAAGGCCGGCGGAAGAAUUGCAGUUAAGGAACUAGGCAAAUUGACCCCGUAAGUUAGCGAGAAGGGGUGCCUGCGAGAGCAGGCCGCAGAGAAUAGGCCCAAGCAACUGUUAGCAAAAACACAGGUCUCUGCUAAAGCGCAAGCUGAUGUAUAGGGGCUGACGCCUGCCCGGUGCUGGAAGGUUAAGGGGAACACUUAGCGCAAGCGAAGGUGUGAACUUAAGCCCCAGUAAACGGCGGCCGUAACGAUAACGGUCCUAAGGUAGCGAAAUUCCUUGUCAGGUAAGUUCUGACCCGCACGAAUGGCGUAAUGACUUGGGCACUGUCUCAACUGCAAAUCCGGCGAAGUUGUAGUGCGAGUGAAGAUGCUCGCUACCCGCGAUUGGACGGAAAGACCCCGUAGAGCUUUACUGUAGCUUAGCAUUGAAUUCCGGUAUUGUCUGUACAGGAUAGGCGGGAGACUGGGAAACUAGGGCGUCAGCCUUAGUGGAGUCGUCCUUGGGAUACCACCCUGACAGUACUGGGGUUCUAACAGGACGCCAUGAAUCUGGUGACUGGACAUUGUUAGGUGGGCAGUUUGACUGGGGCGGUCGCCUCCUAAAAAGUAACGGAGGCGCCCAAAGGUUCCCUCAGAGCGGUCGGAAAUCGUUCGUAGAGUGCAAAGGCAGAAGGGAGCCUGACUGCGAGACCUACAAGUCGAGCAGGGACGAAGGUCGGGCUUAGUGAUCCGAUGGUACCUCGUGGGAGGGCCAUCGCUCAACGGAUAAAAGCUACCUCGGGGAUAACAGGCUGAUCUCCCCCAAGAGUCCACAUCGUCGGGGAGGUUUGGCACCUCGAUGUCGGCUCGUCGCAUCCUGGGGCUGUAGUAGGUCCCAAGGGUUGGGCUGUUCGCCCAUUAAAGCGGCACGCGAGCUGGGUUCAGAACGUCGUGAGACAGUUCGGUCCCUAUCCGUCGCGGGCGUAGGAAAUUUGAGAGGAGCUGUCCUUAGUACGAGAGGACCGGGAUGGACUGACCUCUGGUGCACCAGUUGUUCUGCCAAGAGCAUGGCUGGGUAGCUAAGUCGGGAAGGGAUAAACGCUGAAAGCAUCUAAGCGUGAAGCCUCCCUCAAGAUGAGAUUUCCCAUAGCAUAAGCUAGUAAGACCCCUUGAAGAACACGAGGUUGAUAGGUCAGAGGUGUAAGUGUGGUAACAUAUUUAGCUGACUGAUACUAAUAGGUCGAGGGCUUGACCG
rnacentral:rRNA from 1 species